CUUGGUUUGCCUCUGUUUGUUGUGAAUUCAACGUGUUCAUUAAGUUUUAAGUAUGUGCGAAUCGACAUAGCUUGGCGUCUCAAUCCCAUGUUCCCUUCGAGGCUGCCCUCUUCAAGUCUCCUCUUGCUUAUCAAAUUUUAUUUCUUUUUCAUUUCAAAUAUUUGAUGCAUAACUUUUCUAAAAGCAUAAGUUUGUUGAAUUAAUUUCAAGUGGUCGUUUUAUUUUCGUUACAAUCAGG
rnacentral:misc_RNA from 1 species